CCGAACCGACUAAUGUUGAAAAAUUAGCGGAUGACCUGUGGCUGGGGGUGAAAGGCCAAUCAAACCGGGAGAUAGCUGGUUCUCCCCGAAAGCUAUUUAGGUAGCGCCUCGUGAAUUCAUCUCCGGGGGUAGAGCACUGUUUCGGCUAGGGGGCCAUCCCGGCUUACCAACCCGAUGCAAACUGCGAAUACCGGAGAAUGUUAUCACGGGAGACACACGGCGGGUGCUAACGUCCGUCGUGAAGAGGGAAACAACCCAGACCGCCAGCUAAGGUCCCAAAGUCAUGGUUAAGUGGGAAACGAUGUGGGAAGGCCCAGACAGCCAGGAUGUUGGCUUAGAAGCAGCCAUCAUUUAAAGAAAGCGUAAUAGCUCACUGGUCGAGUCGGCCUGCGCGGAAGAUGUAACGGGGCUAAACCAUGCACCGAAGCUGCGGCAGCGACACUGUGUGUUGUUGGGUAGGGGAGCGUUCUGUAAGCCUGUGAAGGUGUG
rnacentral:rRNA from 3 species